rnacentral:rRNA from 1 species
AGUGAACGCUGGCGGUAGGCCUAACACAUGCAAGUCGAACGGCAGCACAGUAAGAGCUUGCUCUUAUGGGUGGCGGGUGGCGGACGGGAGAGGAAUACAUCGGAAUCUACUUUUUCGUGGGGGUUAACGUAGGGAAACUUACGCCAAGACCGCAUAUGCUCUACGGUGGUAAGCAGGGGAUCUUCGCACCUUGUGCGAUUGAAUGAGCCGAUUUCGGAUUAGUUAGUUGGCGGGGUAAAGGCCAACCAGGGCGACGAUCCGUGGCCGGUCAGAGAGGAUGGUCGGCGACACGAGAACUUGAACACGCUCCAUACUCCUACGGGAGGCAGCAGUGGAGAAUGUGGGGCAAUGGGCGCAAGCCUUAUCCAGCCAUAGCGCGUGUGUGAAGGAGGCCUUCGGGUUGUGAAGCCGUUUUGUUGGGUAUAAACAGCAGCAGCUUAAUACGCCGCUGUACUGACGGUACCCAAUGAAUAAGCACCGGCUAACUUCGUG